UACCAGCUCUCCGAGUGGUAGGGAUGAUUAUUGGGCUUAAAGCGUCCGUAGCCGGCUUAGCAAGUUUCCUGUUAAAUUCAGCGACCUAAUCGUUGAGCCGCGGGAAAUACUGCUAGGCUAGGAGGCGGGAGAGGUCGACGGUACUUCUGGGGUAGGGGUGAAAUCCUAUAAUCCCGGGAGGACCACCAGUGGCGAAGGCUGUCGACUAGAACGCGCUCGACGGUGAGGGACGAAAGCUGGGGGAGCGAACCGGAUUAGAUACCCGGGUAGUCCCAGCUGUAAACGAUGCGGGCUAGGUGUUGGGGUGGCUACGUGCCACUUCAGUGCCGCAGGGAAGCCAUUAAGCCCGCCGCCUGGGGAGUACGGCCGCAAGGCUGAAACUUAAAGGAAUUGGCGGGGGAGCACCACAAGGCGUGAAGCUUGCGGUUC
rnacentral:rRNA from 1 species